rnacentral:rRNA from 1 species
CGGGUGAGUAAUGUCUGGGAAACUGCCUGAUGGAGGGGGAUAACUACUGGAAAUGGUAGCUAAUACCGCAUAACGUCGCAAGACCAAAGAGGGGACCUUAGGGCCUCUUGCCAUCGGAUGUGCCCAGAUGGGAUUAGCUAGUAGGUGGGGUAAAGGCUCACCUAGGCGACGAUCCCUAGCUGGUCUGAGAGGAUGACCAGCCACACUGGAACUGAGACACGGUCCAG